CAACCAACCAAUAGACAAGAUUUGAUACAAACAGAAUUAAAAUUAUUAUAUGCCAGGGAAAACAUCAAUAUCAAGGGAUAGCUAAGACACCAAUAAACAAUUAACAAAAACACCCCAAAAAUCUUAUUGAUAUAUAGCAUCAAAAAGAUUUGCAAAGAUACUAAUUAUUGGUGUUGUAAAAUAUUUCGUAAUGCAAAUUGACAGGUACAUUGUUUUUCUCCGAAAUAACAUCCAAUGAAAGAAACCCAGUCAUGUAUUAUGAAAACAGCAAAAUUUGAGAGAGAAAAAAAAAUAAUAGGACAUAGCAAAUACUUCAAAUGGAAAAAUACUUGAAGACCAUGAAUCUUGGCUAAUGAUUAAAAAAAUAAGAACAUGUUUAAUAUUGUAAGUAACUCAUUUAGGUUGCACCAAGGGCGGCUGCACGGCACACUAAUGCAAAAGAUAUAGCUUAAAAAUUCAGAGAUAUGCAUCAAAUCCAUCUACAAUACUGACAGUUACGCAUAAUGAUAGUCUCCACAAUUCAUGUAACAAUAUCAAUUCAAAUGAAAGGAGUGGGGGGAGCAGAGGCUACAUGUUUUCAUGCUCAGAUCAAGCUAGACGCAAAGCUAAAACUUGUUUUAGCUUUUCGAAUAAGCCGUUAUUGCAAAGUCGUAUAAGUGAGAAUGUAAGACCCCUUUGUAUAUAAGCACUUAUUUCGACAAGCUCGUCUAAAGGUAAGUUGUCUAAAGGUAAGUUGUCUAAAGUGUUUAGCUAAACAUAUUCUAUCUAACACGAGAGCAUAUUCACAAACACUAAAUUCAAUAAGCUUACUUUUAUA
rnacentral:sRNA from 1 species